rnacentral:rRNA from 1 species
AUACGGAGGGUGCAAGCGUUAUCCGGAAUCAUUGGGUUUAAAGGGUCCGCAGGCGGAUUAAUAAGUCAGUGGUGAAAUCCUCUCGCUCAACGAGAGAACUGCCAUUGAAACUGUUAGUCUUGAAUUCGGUCGAAGUAGGCGGAAUGUGUCAUGUAGCGGUGAAAUGCAUAGAUAUGACACAGAACACCGAUAGCGAAGGCAGCUUACUAGACCUGGAUUGACGCUCAUGGACGAAAGCGUGGGGAGCGAACAGGAUUAGAUACCAUAGUAGUCC